rnacentral:rRNA from 1 species
CAAUAGCGUAUAUUAAAGUUGUUGCGGUUAAAAAGACUCGUAGUUGGAUUUCUGGCCGAGGACGACCGGUCCGCCCUCUGGGUGAGCAUCUGGCUCGGCCUGGGCAUCUUCUUGGAGAACGUAUCUGCACUUGGACUGUGUGGUGCGGUUAUCCAAGGACUUUUACUUUGAGGAAAUUAGAAUGUUUCAAGCAGGCAUACGCCUUGAAUACAUUAGCAUGGAAUAAUAAGAUAGGACCUCGGUUCUAUUUUGUUGGUUUCUAGAACAUACGCAAUGAUUAAUAGGGACAAUUGGGGGCGAUUCGUAUUAACGCGUCAGAGGUGGAAUUACUUAGAUUGCGUUACGACGAACUACUGCGAAAGC